AACGAACGCUGGCGGCAGGCUUAACACAUGCAAGUCGAACGCCCCGCAAGGGGAGUGGCAGACGGGUGAGUAACGCGUGGGAACAUACCCUUUCCUGCGGAAUAGCUCCGGGAAACUGGAAUUAAUACCGCAUACGCCCUACGGGGGAAAGAUUUAUCGGGGAAGGAUUGGCCCGCGUUGGGUUAGCUAGUUGGUGGGGUAAAGGCCUACCAAGGCGACGAUCCAUAGCUGGUCUGAGAGGAUGAUCAGCCACAUUGGGACUGAGACACGGCCCAAACUCCUACGGGAGGCAGCAGUGGGGAAUAUUGGACAAUGGGCGCAAGCCUGAUCCAGCCAUGCCGCGUGAGUGAUGAAGGCCUUAGGGUUGUAAAGCUCUUUCACCGAUGAAGAUAAUGACGGUAGUCGGAGAAGAAGCCCCGGCUAACUUCGUG
rnacentral:rRNA from 1 species